CAUUACNGUAUCUAAAAACAAAAUAAAACUAAAAUAGCACAGGGUUCAUAGUAGUGUAUCAUGUAAAUGUAUGCUACUCCUGUUAGCUAAUAAACACACUUGUCACUCUAAGGUGCUCUGAAUGUUUAUGUGAGUGCUGGACUAGUGUGGAAGUCUUAAGGAGGCCAAUGUUGCUGAAUUAAGCACUUUGUAACUGACAUUGUAUGCAUACUUGUGUGGACUGGAGUGUUAAGGUAGGCAAUAAGUCCUUUGAAGAUUUCAUUCGCCUUAGCACUUGAUGUAGUUCAUGUAUGUGCUACUCACAUGUUUUUACAUUUGCUCCGUUUGUGAGCAAAGCAAAAUGAAACGUUAUGUUGAUAUAUAAAUCAUCUAAUAAUAAAAAGUAAAAAAUCAACCUCGAGUGGUGGAUCACUCGGCUCGUGGGUCGAUGAAGAACGCANGCUAACUGCGUGCAGACGUGUGAACUGCAGGACACAUGAACACCGACAUUUUGAACGCAUAUGGCGGCCUGAAAUAACUUUCAGGCCACGUCUGGCUGAGGGUCGGAUAUGAAAUAAAAACAAAAGAUGCUGUAAAAAGCUUCAUCGCCAANGUUGAACAGCUUGGUUAGAAUACAUGUGUAUGAUUGCUGUAAUGUAACAACAGUUUUAAGUUGUAAACUAAUCUGUUGAUUUGGGCGCAUACACAGUUGAAUUUUGUAAAUACAUAAAACAAAUUCAUUGUUACGACCUCAGAGCAGGCGAGAUUACCC
rnacentral:rRNA from 1 species